rnacentral:rRNA from 1 species
AUUGAACGCUGGCGGCAGGCCUAACACAUGCAAGUCGAGCGGAUGAAGGGAGCUUGCUCCUGGAUUCAGCGGCGGACGGGUGAGUAAUGCCUAGGAAUCUGCCUGGUAGUGGGGGAUAACGUCCGGAAACGGGCGCUAAUACCGCAUAAGUCCUGAGGGAGAAAGUGGGGGAUCUUCGGACCUCACGCUAUCAGAUGAGCCUAGGUCGGAUUAGCUAGUUGGUGGGGUAAAGGCCUACCAAGGCGACGAUCCGUAACUGGUCUGAGAGGAUGAUCAGUCACACUGGAACUGAGACACGGUCCAGACUCCUACGGGAGGCAGCAGUGGGGAAUAUUGGACAAUGGGCGAAAGCCUGAUCCAGCCAUGCCGCGUGUGUGAAGAAGGUCUUCGGAUUGUAAAGCACUUUAAGUUGGGAGGAAGGGCAGUAAGUUAAUACCUUGCUGUUUUGACGUUACCAACAGAAUAAGCACCGGCUAACUUCGUG